AUGACAACAUUGACAGAGCAUUAUCGACCGAGAGUGAAACACCGGUCCGUCUGUUUAAUGUUACCCUCAGAAACGCGGAUCGUCACUAUCCGUUCCGCCUUUUUGCUCAUUACGAGGGGUGAAAACUUUAGGCUUCCACACGAUACGAUUUCGAUUUUUAAUGCAACAAUUCGAUAUUUGACGAUACUGCUGAAUCUGAUACGAUAUGAUACAAUUUCAAUUCAUAGGCUAAUGAUUCGAUAUUCGAUGAUACUACUGAAUCUGCUAUGAUAUGAUACGAUACUAUUCUGUUCAAUAUAUAAGGCAACAGUGUGAUAUUUGAUGAUACUACUAAAUCUGCUACUGUACGAUAUGAUACAAUUUCAAUUCAUAGGCUAAUGAUUCGAUAUUUGAUGAUACUACUGAAUCUGGUAAUAUAGGAUACAUUUCGAUUCAUAAAGCAACAAUUCAAUAUUUGACGAUACUAGUGAAUCUGCUACAAUAUGGUACAAUUUCAAUUCAUAGGCCAAUGAUUCGAUAUUUAACGAUACAACUGAAUCUGGUACAAUAGUAUACAUUUUAGCUCAUAAAGCAGCAUUUCAAUAUUUGAUGAUACUGCUGAAUCUGCUACGAUAUGAUACAAUUUCAGUUCAUAGGGCGACAAUUCGAUAUUUGAUGAAACUACAAAAUCUGCUAUGAUAUACGAUUUUCGAUAUAUAAGACAACAGCGUGAUAUUUGAAGAUACUACUGAAUCUGCUGCUAUGAUACGAUAUGAUACAAUUUAUCACCCUCUGAUUGAUAUGUGAUGAAUUUUGUUCUGAAUCUGAAGUAGGCCGACUGUAAAUUUGCAAAUGAUGAUGAUGUAGAGAAGGACUAUUUUAAAAGUGAAAUGUAUGGGAUUUUUCUGUAUGUUUCCAAAAUUGGCCAUGCUCUCUAGGUGGGAGGGGCAUACUCUCUCUCCCCUGUCAGUCACAGUGACACUAGCCAAUCAUGGGCUUCUGUGAGCUCAUGUAUGUGGAAGAAGGUAGAUAGCACUUUCCUUCAAGUGUGUUAUGCUGCCCUGUGAUGUGCAUGAACAGCAGUUCAGACAGAUGUGGUUGGCUGGCCUCAUGAAAACAAAUCCCUUGUAUCCCCAGGAGUACACGUACCACCAUUUGAGAAAUACUGGUAGUAGGGACCUGCCAGCUUGACCGUGUAUUUUGCUGUAGAGGUUGGAACAAUACCCUGAUCGGCUACCUGUAACUUGUGCACAUUGGUUGUAUGCCUGCUUGGUUUCUUGCUGAAACUCAUGUAUAUGCUGUAGAUUUGUUGCUGCAUCCUUUUGUCUGUGUUUAAUUUCGGAGUGCUACAGUAUUUACUCCAGCCGAAGAUUUCCACCUCUGGCUUCUGCACUCUGGCUGAGAGAUGUCCAGGACAUUGAAGGGUCACCUCUACUAGACUCCCUUUUCCUUAAUGGAUGCUGUACCCUUUGUGUGACCAGAAAUUGAAAGAGUUCAAGCCUAGCGUCUCGGAGGUCAACCAUCUCAGGAUUUUGCUUGCUGGACCAGUAGGUUCCUGGAAGUCCAGCUUUAUCAGCUCUGUUAAUACAGUCCUCCAAGGUUACAAUAUGACCAUCACCACAGUAAAUGCACUCAGAGGUCACAGCUUCAUUCGCAGUGCAAAACCUGCAAGCUGAGGAAAGGUACAGAUGGAUCUUUUUAUCUGUUUGUAUUCAGUGACAUGAUGGGUCUGGAAGAACAUAGCUCAGAAGGGGUGCAAACUAAUGACAUCAUCAUGACAUGUACUGCAUGGACAUGUGGCAGAGGAGUACAGAGCAAGCUGAUGCACAUUCGAUUCUAAUUUGAUGUAUAGAUGAAUCAGAAAUACUCUAAAAGACAAAACUAAUGAUUAAUGAUUAAUUAAUGAAAAUUUGAGCUACAGAGGGGGUUCCUCUGCAUACUCCAGUUUCCUCGCCCAGUCCAAAGACAUGCAUUGUGGGCUGAUUGGAAUCUCUAAAUUGUCCGGAGUGCGUGUGUGUGUGUGUCCCGCCUUGUGCCCUUGGUCACCUGGGAUAGGCUCCAGGAUCCCCGUGACCCCGUGUAGGAUAAGCGGUACAGAAAACGGAUGGAUGGAAUUUGAGAUACAGCAGAUUGAAAUAUUUUUUCAUAUUAUUAUAACAACCAAUGGGGCAAGUUAGCAAUCAUGUAAGUGAAUCACAAGGAAUUAAGGAUUAGGGAUAUUAAUCCACUUAACUAAAUAGCUCACCAUAUGAUGUUACAUUACAUUAGCUACCACAUUUUAGACUAGUCAGUUUGUUCCCAGGUGACCAAAACAUGGGAUUAGUCCACCUUUGAGUGUUAUCCCCGUAGGUUCUAUGCCAUUUCAUCCAGUCCACGAACGUCCAAGAAUGUUAAGCAUACACUGUUAAAGUUUUGCUCAGCCUUUUUUGGCCCAUGCUUGAAGAAAAGGUAAAUUAUGGCAAAUCAUAACAUAGUGGUGAUUUUGUUAGUUUAGUUUAGUUUAUUUAAUUAUAAAGCACAUUUAAAAACAACUGAUGUUGAAACCAAAGUGCUGUACAAGUAGUAUAAAACAGAUCUAUACACAAAAACAUUUAACAAUAUAAAAUGGAAUGGAAGACAAAUGGAAAUUUUACAGCAUUUUGUAACAAUGAAGACCCAUGGUUGCAGAAACAUCCAAAAACAAGUUUAAAAAUGAACCUAAACUCUUGAACAAAAUUCAUACUUGGGUUAUCGAGGGAUAUAAUGUAGUGCAUACCAGCCUAUACCAUAAUUACACAUGCACUCACAGUUCAUUUUCUUUUAUUUUUAGUUUAAUGCCAAGGAACUGACUGCUGAAAGCACUGAAUACAGCACUGCCCCGAGCUUAAAUGACAAAGUUCACUGUCUGGUCAGUGUGCUCUCUGAAGAGAAAAUAUCUGAAGAUGUCAUCCAUAAAAUGAGAGAAGUUCUGCAAAAAGCACGAGACUUGGAUGAUGGAGUGCAGCACCACACUGGGAGUUCCAGUGAACCGCAUCUUCCCUGUAAAGAACUACAGCAAGGGAAUCACCUGCAACACCAGCAUGGAUAUUCUUAUUCUCAUGGCAGUGACAAAUAUUGUGCGCUUUGUCAGCAACUAUGUGGACAGGCAGUAAAACAUACAUAAGGUAUACACGGGGUUAGCUUUUAGUAUAAAUACAGUUCUGUAGCAACUCUAUGCUUUGUGAUUUCUGAAUUGAAGUAUAGCAUUUCAUGUUUCACUUUUCAAAUCCGCUUUUCCAUUAGGUUAUUGUUUACUAUAUUCUAUGCUUUGAAUUAAUAUAUUUAAAGUACAGGGUGUCCCAAAAGUCUUCAUACUUAGGGGAAAUUAACACUUUUUAGCAAAAUGUCUUCCAAAAGUUUUCAUACUUAGUUUAUAUUAUAUAAUUUUUCAGAUAGCCUUUACGAAUGGCUUUGACAAAAGAAGAACGUAUUGAAAUCAUUUUCAUGGCUGGAUUGGGAAGCUGUCGCAAGGUUGUGAUGGACUUUAACAGGAAACAUGGCAAGCGUAUCACACACGACACUGUUGCCAAAUUUAUUAACAAAUUCAAAAAGACUGGAAAUGACCAACUGAGAAGUGUGCAUCCAUGAACAUCCACUGAAGAAGGCACAACCGACGUGGUGCUGGCAUACAUAGUCCCCUAGGUAUGGACUUUUGGGACACCCUGUAGUUGUCAGAAUUAAAA